AUUGAACGCUGGCGGCAGGCCUAACACAUGCAAGUCGAGCGGAUGAGAGGAGCUUGCUUCUCGAUUCAGCGGCGGACGGGUGAGUAAUGCCUAGGAAUCUGCCUGGUAGUGGGGGACAACGUUUCGAAAGGAACGCUAAUACCGCAUACGUCCUACGGGAGAAAGCAGGGGACCUUCGGGCCUUGCGCUAUCAGAUGAGCCUAGGUCGGAUUAGCUAGUUGGUGAGGUAAUGGCUCAGCAAGGCGACGAUCCGUAACUGGUCUGAGAGGAUGAGCAGUCACACUGGAACUGAGACACGGUCCAGACUCCUACGGGAGGCGGCAGUGGGGAAUAUUGGACAAUGGGCGAAAGCCUGAUCCAGCCAUGCCGCGUGUGUGAAGAAGGUCUUCGGAUUGUAAAGCACUUUAAGUUGGGAGGAAGGGUUGUAGAUUAAUACUCUGCAAUUUUGACGUUACCGACAGAAUAAGCACCGGCUAACUCUGUGCCAGCAGCCGCAGUAAGAC
rnacentral:rRNA from 1 species